ACGGAAGGCAGCAGUAAGGAAUUUUCGGCAAUGGGCGAAAGCCUGACCGAGCAACGCCGCGUGAGUGAUGAAGGCCUUCGGGUUGUAAAGCUCUGUGGUAAAGGAAGAAUACCACUGAUAGGAAAUGAUCAGUGGCUGACGGUACUUUACUAGAAAGUCACGGCUUACUACGUGCCAGCAGCCGCGGUAAUACGUAGGUGGCAAGCGUUAUCCGGAUUUAUUGGGCGUAAAGGGUGCGCAGGCGGUCUGUUAAGUCUGAGGUGAAAGCGUGGAGCUCAACUCCAUACAGCCUUGGAUACUGGCAGGCUAGAGUGCAGAAGAGGGUUAUGGAACUCCAUGUGUAGCGGUAAAAUGCGUAGAUAUAUGGAAGAACACCAGCGGCGAAGGCGGUAACCUGGUCUGUUACUGACGCUCAGGCACGAAAGCGUGGGGAGCAAAUAGGAUUAGAUACCCUGGUA
rnacentral:rRNA from 1 species